GUGCACCAGGCGCGAAACCUCCGCAAUACACGAAAGUGUGACGGGGCCAUCCCGAGUGCCGUCCGCUGAGGACGGCUUUUCCCCAGUGUACAUAGCUGGGGGAAUAAGGAGAGGGCAAGCCUGGUGUCAGCCGCCGCGGUAAUACCAGCUCUCCGAGUGGUGGGGACGCUUAUUGGGCCUAAAGCAUCCGUAGCCGGCUGGGCAAGUCCUCCGUUAAAUCCAACGAUUCAAUCGUUGGGCUGCGGGGGAUACUGUCCAGCUUGGGGGCGGGAGAGGCCGACGGUAUUCCCGGGGUAGGGGUGAAAUCCUAAUAAUCCCGGGAGGACCACCAGUGGCGAAGGCUGUCGGCUAGAACGCGCCCGACGGUGAGGGAUGAAAGCGUGGGGGAGCGAACCGGAUUAGACUACCCCGUAGU
rnacentral:rRNA from 1 species